rnacentral:lncRNA from 1 species
AUACCGUUUCCUGUUCUAAUGUGCCAGUGAUGGUCUGCACAAUUGCAUAUAUGCCUCUAACUUUUCUCUGCAAGCCCCAAGACUGAUAAGCAAAGGCUUGGUACUCAACCCUUUAAGUUAGUACUGCCAGUGAAGGGCGUGAAUAAAAUGCUUUUCUGUCUGUGAUGGACAGAUGAAGGGACAGGAACUCAAGUACCACGGGAACCUGGAGUUAGCAGAUGAUGCUUAUUAGCUUAUUCUUUGGUUCUUAGAGAACACAGGACCUCCAGCCCAGGGGUGGUGGCUGCCCCCUUUCACCAGUCACUGAUACAAAAAUGCCUUACAGGCUUGCUUGCCCACAGCCCUAUCUUAAGGAUGCAUUUUUACAAUUGUAGCUUCCUACGCCAGUGAUUAGCUUGUGUCAAGUUGACAUAAAAGUAGCCAGUGCACACUCAUACAAGGUACUAAAACAUGCGAGUAAAAAAUGAGAGUUCACAAUCAAAUAUUUUAAUUUUUAGGUGUAACAAAACCUGUCUCAUUUGAAGGUGCUUGAACAAAUACUUUCCAAAAACUUGUCAUGGAGAGUGAGUGAAACAAGCUACCAGGACUACAUUUGCAAAGAACAAGCAUGUAGGUGGCUGUAGUGGAUGUCCAACAUUGGGAGCUGUGAUUUCUAAAAACCCUUCAUUGUUUUGUGUGCAGCUCACAUUUUGGAAGGUAAAAUGAAGACCAUGAACAAAGUCAAGAAACCACGAACAGAAGCAAAUGAUGAAAAUUAGUAUUUAAUUUGAUAUUAAUAAAAUAAGUUAUGUAGAAAUAGUUAAUCUUAA